UGAACGCUGGCGGCGUGCCUAACACAUGCAAGUCGAGCGAGAAGCUCAUGACCAAUACUCGGUUGCGUGAUGAGUGGAAAGCGGCGGACGGGUGAGUAACGCGUAGGCAACCUGCCCCUUGCAGAGGGAUAGCCUCGGGAAACCGGGAUUAAAACCUCAUAAUGCGGAGCUGAGACAUCUCAAUUCCGCCAAAGAUUUAUCGGCAAGGGAUGGGCCUGCGUCUGAUUAGUUAGUUGGUGGGGUAACGGCCUACCAAGGCGACGAUCAGUAGCCGACCUGAGAGGGUGAUCGGCCACAUUGGAACUGAGACACGGUCCAAACUCCUACGGGAGGCAGCAGUGGGGAAUAUUGCACAAUGGGCGAAAGCCCUGAUGCAGCAACGCCGCGUGAAGGAUGAAGGCCCUUGGGUCGUAAACUUCUGUUCUAAGGGAAGAUAAUGACGGUACCUUAGGAGCAAGUCCCGGCUAACUACGUGCCAGCCGCUGC
rnacentral:rRNA from 1 species